GUUUCUUAUUUGAAACCUUCACAACUCAUAUUUCACAACUCAAUUUUUAUUUUUCACUAUUUUUCUUCCAAGCAAGCAUUCAUUUUCAUUCUUUCUAUUUUUGUUCUUUUCUUUCACAUCAUAUUUACAAAACAGAUGUUUCUUUUCUAUAUUUUUAUUUUCAAUGCUUGCUUGGUUUUUCAUUUCUUUUUUCAAGAGUUGUGGUACUUACCGAUUCUCCCCAACUUAUUUCUUACUCACCCUAAGUGAAUGCUCUUAACUUUUUACGGCAAAAGAACAAUAAUCAAGAUUUUCCGGGUUGUAAAAAAAAAGAUUUUUGAAAUCU
rnacentral:lncRNA from 1 species